rnacentral:lncRNA from 1 species
GCUGUGCGCCCGGCCGGCGUGGCUGGCUGUUUGAGGACUGCGCGCGGAGCUCCGUGGCGGGUGUCUGAAGUCGUGAGUUUACUGCUUGUAAGGAACAUAGCGAUCACUGGGAACCUGGAAGUAGAGACUCCUUUCUGCCAUCCAUCCGUCCCUCGGGCUGCUGCGAAUCCCCCCGCCGGCCUCCAGGACCCCGGGCUGACUGAACGCCCGCACCGGUCCCGCCGCCCCAGGGCCCGCUACGCGCCCGGCAUAAUGGGAGAAAAAUCACGACGGAAAGGCCCAGCCCCUCGCCAUGCAGACGGGAAGCUUGGCCGCACGUGUGAUCACCCUUACGCCCCUUGGAGUUUCACCCCCUCUUCGCGGGCUCCAACAGCCUGGGUCAGGCCUCCUUGUCCUGUGUGGGCCUCUCGGCUGCAAGAACACAGUCCCGAGCCCCGGCGAGCCCGCGCGCCUCCCACCCGCCGUGCACAGGCUGCACUUUACGCCCCAGCACUGCGCCUGCGGGACCAUCUGGAUCGCUUUUCCAUUCUGAUGACGUCCUGUACUUCGUGGCUGCAGGCUCCUCAAGCCCCAGGUCUGUGCAGAGACGAGCAAAGCAGCAGAAUAUCCGUGCCACAGCUUUCUGGAGCACCCAUUUUACUACCAGAUUUGGAAGGAACGAAGUUAAGUAAUUUCCAAGAAUCAUCUCCCCUGCCCCACAAACAUGAAAGAAAAGACAAGAGAAGCACCCCAGAAGAGGAGGGGAGAAGUGCCCCAGAAAAAAUCAUCCAGUCUCUGAAGCUUUGCCCAGGAGCCAGCUGAGGAGGUGUGUCAUGCAACUUGCCCCCCCAGCCCUCCCCUUCUAAGGAACCCCCACACCUGCUCUGUCUUCCUGCUACAGUCUCUGAGAAAAGCCCUUUCAUCUGUCAAGAACUACAAAAGUCAUUCUUUAAGUGCUAAAUAAACAAUGAAACAGACACAAAGUUAAAGUUACCUGAUCCAAAAAGGAGUGAAGCCUAGACCCCAGCCCACUGACUCAGUCUCUAAGACCCCUCACUCAAAUCUUCAAUCAACAGUGGAGAUGGCUGUGAGCUCUUCUGAUUCCAGAUGACAAUACUCCUCCCUUUAAUUCCUUGAUAUGUUUAAUUAUGUAAGUAAAUUUAAUAUAAAAAUCAUUGCAUUAGAGUUCAUUGUUUUUAUACAAGAUUCAGUGUGAGAUCAAUGUUAUACUUCCAAUUUGUCACACUUACAGAGAACUGAGAAGAAUCACAUUAUUUAAAAUCUUAGCAAAUGUGCAUAAUUCCUUUGGAUAAUUUUAAAGUGAUAGGAUUGGAUCACAUAUGAUGCAAUUGCCUGGGUCUGUUUUGUUUUUAGUUGUAUUUGUCUCUCAUAUUGUGAAUCUCAUAUUUAUGUGACUAAUUAUCAGAAGAUUUUAUCUUUAUUAUGCAUAUUUAGUAUAAAAUGAUCAUACAGUGAAGAGUGUGUAAAAUCAAAAUAAAAUGCCAUUCAUCACC